rnacentral:rRNA from 11 species
AAUGAUAAGCCUAAAUACCAUAAGGCACUAAAUCCUAUCUGAUCUUGGCAGCUAAACAAGGUCAGAUCUGGUUAGUACUUGGAUGGGAGCCUGUCAACAAAUAUCAUGUGUUGUAAAUU